CGAAAGCCUGACGGAGCAAUACCGCGUGAGGGAGGAAGGCUCUUGGGUUGUAAACCUCUUUUCUCAGGGAAGAACAAAAUGACGGUACCUGAGGAAUCAGCAUCGGCUAACUCCGUGCCAGCAGCCGCGGUAAUACGGAGGAUGCAAGCGUUAUCCGGAAUGAUUGGGCGUAAAGCGUCCGCAGGUGGCAUUGAAAGUCUGCUGUCAAAGAGUCUGGCUCAACCAGAUAAAGGCAGUGGAAACUACAAAGCUAGAGUACGUUCGGGGCAGAGGGAAUUCCUGGUGUAGCGGUGAAAUGCGUAGAGAUCAGGAAGAACACCGGUGGCGAAAGCGCUCUGCUAGGCCGUAACUGACACUGAGGGACGAAAGCUAGGGGAGCGAAUGGGAUUAGAUACCCCAGUAGUCCUAGCCGUAAACGAUGGAUACUAGGUGUUGCUUGUAUCGACCCGAGCAGUACCGUAGCUAACGCGUUAAGUAUCCCGCCUGGGGAGUACGCAGGCAACUGUGAAACUCAAAGGAAUUGACGGGGGCCCGCACAAGCGGUGGAGUAUGUGGUUUAAUUCGAUGCAACGCGAAGAACCUUACCAGGGCUUGACAUGUCGCGAAUCCUUGUGAAAGCAGGGAGUGCCUUCGGGAGCGCGAACACAGGUGGUGCAUGGCUGUCGUCAGCUCGUGUCGUGAGAUGUUGGGUUAAGUCCCGCAACGAGCGCAACCCUCGUUUUUAGUUGCCAUCAUUAAGUUGGGCACUCUAGAGAGACUGCCGGUGACAAACCGGAGGAAGGUGGGGAUGACGUCAAGUCAGCAUGCCCCUUACGUCCUGGGCUACACACGUACUACAAUGCUACGAACAGAGGGCAGCUAACCAGCGAUGGCAAGCUAAUCCCGGAAAUCGUAGCUCAGUUCAGAUCGCAGGCUGCAACUCGCCUGCGUGAAGUUGGAAUCGCUAGUAAUUGCAGGUCAGCAUACUGCAGUGAAUUCGUUCCCGGGCCUUGUACACACCGCCCGUCACACCAUGGAAGCUGGUAGUGCCCGAAGUCAUUACCCCAACCUUAGGGAGGGGGAUGCCUAAGGCAGGACUGGUGACUGGGGUGAA
rnacentral:rRNA from 1 species